GGGCCGUGCCGGCGUCGUAGUCUCCGUGUGACCCGACGCACUUCCUCCCGCCCUUAGGACGCCGCAGCCGGUUGGGUAGAUGCGCGCGUCGGCCAUAAGGAAGUCCGCCGGAAGGUGGCCAGUGGCGAGCCCUGGCGUUCGUCGCUGGUCGUUAUCCAGGGCGUCCGUGGCACGACACCCGACCGAGGUCGAUGGGUCCCGGUUAGGACCUUGCCGUCCCCUCCCCUCUGUGGUCGAGCAGGAGCGCAGGCAGGCGUUUCUCCGUGCGGUGGUUUCACUCUUGGAGUGGUCCGUCGCUUGGGGACGCUGUUGGCGCGGUGUUUUCCUGCGCAGGGGUGAUUCAGGCGGCUGGCGGCGAGUAGGUCGGUCACCCACCCGACCCGUCUUGAAACACGGACCAAGGAGUCUAACAUGUGCGCGAGUCAUUGGGUCUUGUUCAGGCCCAGAGGCGCAAUGAAAGUGAAGGCCUUCCCCGUGGUAGGCCGAGUUGGGACUCUCC
rnacentral:rRNA from 1 species